UUAAGCGACUAAGCGUACACGGUGGAUGCCCUGGCAGUCAGAGGCGAUGAAGGACGUGCUAAUCUGCGAUAAGCGUCGGUAAGGUGAUAUGAACCGUUAUAACCGGCGAUUUCCGAAUGGGGAAACCCAGUGUGAUUCGUCACACUAUCAUUAACUGAAUCCAUAGGUUAAUGAGGCGAACCGGGGGAACUGAAACAUCUAAGUACCCCGAGGAAAAGAAAUCAACCGAGAUUCCCCCAGUAGCGGCGAGCGAACGGGGAGGAGCCCAGAGCCUGAAUCAGUGUGUGUGUUAGUGGAAGCGUCUGGAAAGGCGCGCGAUACAGGGUGACAGCCCCGUACACAAAAAUGCACAUGCUGUGAGCUCGAUGAGUAGGGCGGGACACGUGGUAUCCUGUCUGAAUAUGGGGGGACCAUCCUCCAAGGCUAAAUACUCCUGACUGACCGAUAGUGAACCAGUACCGUGAGGGAAAGGCGAAAAGAACCCCGGCGAGGGGAGUGAAAAAGAACCUGAAACCGUGUACGUACAAGCAGUGGGAGCACGCUUAGGCGUGUGACUGCGUACCUUUUGUAUAAUGGGUCAGCGACUUAUAUUCUGUAGCAAGGUUAACCGAAUAGGGGAGCCGAAGGGAAACCGAGUCUUAACUGGGCGUUAAGUUGCAGGGUAUAGACCCGAAACCCGGUGAUCUAGCCAUGGGCAGGUUGAAGGUUGGGUAACACUAACUGGAGGACCGAACCGACUAAUGUUGAAAAAUUAGCGGAUGACUUGUGGCUGGGGGUGAAAGGCCAAUCAAACCGGGAGAUAGCUGGUUCUCCCCGAAAGCUAUUUAGGUAGCGCCUCGUGAAUUCAUCUCCGGGGGUAGAGCACUGUUUCGGCAAGGGGGUCAUCCCGACUUACCAACCCGAUGCAAACUGCGAAUACCGGAGAAUGUUAUCACGGGAGACACACGGCGGGUGCUAACGUCCGUCGUGAAGAGGGAAACAACCCAGACCGCCAGCUAAGGUCCCAAAGUCAUGGUUAAGUGGGAAACGAUGUGGGAAGGCCCAGACAGCCAGGAUGUUGGCUUAGAAGCAGCCAUCAUUUAAAGAAAGCGUAAUAGCUCACUGGUCGAGUCGGCCUGCGCGGAAGAUGUAACGGGGCUAAACCAUGCACCGAAGCUGCGGCAGCGACGCUGAUGCGUUGUUGGGUAGGGGAGCGUUCUGUAAGCCUGUGAAGGUGUGCUGUGAGGCAUGCUGGAGGUAUCAGAAGUGCGAAUGCUGACAUAAGUAACGAUAAAGCGGGUGAAAAGCCCGCUCGCCGGAAGACCAAGGGUUCCUGUCCAACGUUAAUCGGGGCAGGGUGAGUCGACCCCUAAGGCGAGGCCGAAAGGCGUAGUCGAUGGGAAACAGGUUAAUAUUCCUGUACUUGGUGUUACUGCGAAGGGGGGACGGAGAAGGCUAUGUUGGCCGGGCGACGGUUGUCCCGGUUUAAGCGUGUAGGCUGGUUUUCCAGGCAAAUCCGGAAAACUAAGGCUGAGGCGUGAUGACGAGGCACUACGGUGCUGAAGCAACAAAUGCCCUGCUUCCAGGAAAAGCCUCUAAGCAUCAGGUAACAUCAAAUCGUACCCCAAACCGACACAGGUGGUCAGGUAGAGAAUACCAAGGCGCUUGAGAGAACUCGGGUGAAGGAACUAGGCAAAAUGGUGCCGUAACUUCGGGAGAAGGCACGCUGAUAUGUAGGUGAAGUCCCUCGCGGAUGGAGCUGAAAUCAGUCGAAGAUACCAGCUGGCUGCAACUGUUUAUUAAAAACACAGCACUGUGCAAACACGAAAGUGGACGUAUACGGUGUGACGCCUGCCCGGUGCCGGAAGGUUAAUUGAUGGGGUCAGCGCAAGCGAAGCUCUUGAUCGAAGCCCCGGUAAACGGCGGCCGUAACUAUAACGGUCCUAAGGUAGCGAAAUUCCUUGUCGGGUAAGUUCCGACCUGCACGAAUGGCGUAAUGAUGGCCAGGCUGUCUCCACCCGAGACUCAGUGAAAUUGAACUCGCUGUGAAGAUGCAGUGUACCCGCGGCAAGACGGAAAGACCCCGUGAACCUUUACUAUAGCUUGACACUGAACAUUGAGCCUUGAUGUGUAGGAUAGGUGGGAGGCUUUGAAGUGUGGACGCCAGUCUGCAUGGAGCCGACCUUGAAAUACCACCCUUUAAUGUUUGAUGUUCUAACGUUGACCCGUAAUCCGGGUUGCGGACAGUGUCUGGUGGGUAGUUUGACUGGGGCGGUCUCCUCCUAAAGAGUAACGGAGGAGCACGAAGGUUGGCUAAUCCUGGUCGGACAUCAGGAGGUUAGUGCAAUGGCAUAAGCCAGCUUGACUGCGAGCGUGACGGCGCGAGCAGGUGCGAAAGCAGGUCAUAGUGAUCCGGUGGUUCUGAAUGGAAGGGCCAUCGCUCAACGGAUAAAAGGUACUCCGGGGAUAACAGGCUGAUACCGCCCAAGAGUUCAUAUCGACGGCGGUGUUUGGCACCUCGAUGUCGGCUCAUCACAUCCUGGGGCUGAAGUAGGUCCCAAGGGUAUGGCUGUUCGCCAUUUAAAGUGGUACGCGAGCUGGGUUUAGAACGUCGUGAGACAGUUCGGUCCCUAUCUGCCGUGGGCGCUGGAGAACUGAGGGGGGCUGCUCCUAGUACGAGAGGACCGGAGUGGACGCAUCACUGGUGUUCGGGUUGUCAUGCCAAUGGCACUGCCCGGUAGCUAAAUGCGGAAGAGAUAAGUGCUGAAAGCAUCUAAGCACGAAACUUGCCCCGAGAUGAGUUCUCCCUGACUCCUUGAGAGUCCUGAAGGAACGUUGAAGACGACGACGUUGAUAGGCC
rnacentral:rRNA from 1 species